GUGUUGUAUGAAAUGAGAGAAGGUUAGCAUUCCCCUUGUCAAGGAUGGAGGAAGUCCUUGGGCAUAACAACAUGGAUACAGUUAAUGCUUUGAUAUUUAGUUCCUGGCAUCUAACCAUCAUUUAAA